GACGAACGCUGGCGGCGUGCUUAACACAUGCAAGUCGAACGAUGAAACCGCUUCGGUGGUGGAUUAGUGGCGAACGGGUGAGUAACACGUGGGCAAUCUGCCCUUCACUCUGGGACAAGCCCUGGAAACGGGGUCUAAUACCGGAUAACACUCUGUCCCGCAUGGGACGGGGUUGAAAGCUCCGGCGGUGAAGGAUGAGCCCGCGGCCUAUCAGCUUGUUGGUGGGGUAAUGGCCUACCAAGGCGACGACGGGUAGCCGGCCUGAGAGGGCGACCGGCCACACUGGGACUGAGACACGGCCCAGACUCCUACGGGAGGCAGCAGUGGGGAAUAUUGCACAAUGGGCGAAAGCCUGAUGCAGCGACGCCGCGUGAGGGAUGACGGCCUUCGGGUUGUAAACCUCUUUCAGCAGGGAAGAAGCGAAAGUGACGGUACCUGCAGAAGAAGCGCCGGCUAACUACGUGCCAGCAGCCGCGGUAAUAC
rnacentral:rRNA from 1 species